AGUGAACGCUGGCGGUAGGCCUAACACAUGCAAGUCGAACGGCAGCACAGGAGAGCUUGCUCUCUGGGUGGCGAGUGGCGGACGGGUGAGGAAUACAUCGGAAUCUACUUUUUCGUGGGGGAUAACGUAGGGAAACUUACGCUAAUACCGCAUACGACCUACGGGUGAAAGCAGGGGAUCUUCGGACCUUGCGCGAUUGAAUGAGCCGAUGUCGGAUUAGCUAGUUGUCGGGGUAAAGGCCCACCAAGGCGACGAUCCGUAGCUGGUCUGAGAGGAUGAUCAGCCACACUGGAACUGAGACACGGUCCAGACUCCUACGGGAGUCAGCAGUGGGGAAUAUUGGACAAUGGGCGCAAGCCUGAUCCAGCCAUACCGCGUGGGUGAAGAAGGCCUUCGGGUUGUAAAGCCCUUUUGUUGGGAAAGAAAUCCAGCUGGUUAAUACCCGGUUGGGAUGACGGUACCCAAAGAAUAAGCACCGGCUAACUUCGUGCCAGCAGCCGCCGUAA
rnacentral:rRNA from 1 species